UUGAACGCUGGCGGCAGGCCUAACACAUGCAAGUCGAGCGGAUGAAGGGAGCUUGCUCCUGGAUUCAGCGGCGGACGGGUGAGUAAUGCCUAGGAAUCUGCCUGGUAGUGGGGGAUAACGUCCGGAAACGGGCGCUAAUACCGCAUACGUCCUGAGGGAGAAAGUGGGGGAUCUUCGGACCUCACGCUAUCAGAUGAGCCUAGGUCGGAUUAGCUAGUUGGUGGGGUAAAGGCCUACCAAGGCGACGAUCCGUAACUGGUCUGAGAGGAUGAUCAGUCACACUGGAACUGAGACACGGUCCAGACUCCUACGGGAGGCAGCAGUGGGGAAUAUUGGACAAAGGGCGAAAGCCUGAUCCAGCCAUGCCGCGUGUGUGAAGAAGGUCUUCGGAUUUUAAAGCACUUUAAGUUGGGAGGAAGGGCAGUAAGUUAAUACCUUGCUGUUUUGACGUUACCAACAGAAUAAGCACCGGCUAACUUCGUG
rnacentral:rRNA from 1 species